AUUGGUUCCCUAAAUGUUCAGCUUGAAGAUGUAAAUUUCCCACUUGAUACAGAUUUUAUCGAUCCAAAGUCUCCAAUAGCACAUCUGUGUGAAGAUAUAUGUAAUACAUUUCCUAUUGACAGUGGUUCCCAGAAUGUUGGCUUUGAAGAUGAAAAUUUCCCACUUGAUACAGAUUUUAUCGAUCCAAAGUUUCCCAUAGCACAUCUGUGUGAAGAUAUAUGUAAUACAUUUCCUAUUGACAGUGGAUCCCAAAAUGUU